rnacentral:rRNA from 1 species
GACGAACGCUGGCGGCGUGCCUAAUACAUGCGAGUUGAGCGCUGAAGGUUGGUACUUGUACCAACUGGAUGAGCAGCGAACGGGUGAGUAACGCGUGGGGAAUCUGCCUUUGAGCGGGGGACAACAUUUGGAAACGAAUGCUAAUACCGCAUAAAAACUUUAAACACAAGUUUUAAGUUUGAAAGAUGCAAUUGCAUCACUCAAAGAUGAUCCCGCGUUGUAUUAGCUAGUUGGUGAGGUAAAGGCUCACCAAGGCGAUGAUACAUAGCCGACCUGAGAGGGUGAUCGGCCACAUUGGGACUGAGACACGGCCCAAACUCCUACGGGAGGCAGCAGUAGGGAAUCUUCGGCAAUGGACGAAAGUCUGACCGAGCAACGCCGCGGGAGUGAAGAAGGUUUUCGGAUCGUAAAACUCUGUUGGUAGAGAAGAACGUUGGUGAGAGUGGAAAGCUCAUCAAGUGACGGUAACUACCCAGAAAGGGACGGCUAACUACG